AAGUCGUAACAAGGUUUCCGUAGGUGAACCUGCGGAAGGAUCAUUACCGAGUGAGGGUCCUUGUGGCCCAACCUCCCAACCCUUGUGUUUAACUAUACCACGUUGCUUCGGCGGGCCCGCCCUUGAAAGAGGGACCGCCGGACGGACGUCUCGUCUGUCUGGUCCGUUGCCCGUCGAUAGCCCAACUUCAACUCUUGAUAAACUGUGUCGUCUGAGUUACAAACAAAAUUAUAUUAAAA
rnacentral:misc_RNA from 1 species